rnacentral:rRNA from 1 species
AUUGAACGCUGGCGGCAUGCUUUACACAUGCAAGUCGAACGGCAGCGCGGGCUUCGGCCUGGCGGCGAGUGGCGAACGGGUGAGUAAUACAUCGGAACGUGCCCAGUAGUGGGGGAUAGCUCGGCGAAAGCCGGAUUAAUACCGCAUACGACCUGAGGGUGAAAGCGGGGGAUCUUCGGACCUCGCGCUACUGGAGCGGCCGAUGGCAGAUUAGCUAGUUGGUGGGGUAAAGGCCUACCAAGGCGACGAUCUGUAGCUGGUCUGAGAGGACGACCAGCCACACUGGAACUGAGACACGGCCCAGACUCCUACGGGAGGCAGCAGUGGGGAAUUUUGGACAAUGGGCGAAAGCCUGAUCCAGCAAUGCCGCGUGUGUGAUGAAGGCCUUCGGGUUGUAAAGCACUUUUGGCGGGAACGAAAAGGACUGUGCCAAUACCACGGUUCGAUGACGGUACCCGCAGAAUAAGCACCGGCUAACUACGUG